rnacentral:lncRNA from 7 species
AUGUUUCCCUGCUUCUUUACUGGUAUUUCCAUUAUGCAUUUGUAACUAUGAUUGCUUGGUUUCAACCUCUGAAGUUUGAAACUUCUUGUCCCUCUGGGCCAUGUAUUAUGGAGCUAAUAAGAAACCUAAGAUUUCAUAUUGGAACGUGAGGUCAUUCUUGAUAGAGUGAGCCAGUUCCUCGUGGUAUAAGUUGGCAGCAUGUCAUAAAAGUCAGUGCCUUGAAGUCAAUGGAUCUUUCCAUCAUAUAUAUGAAUUCUGCCUUAUGCCUAGCAUGUGACACACCCUUGGAAGAAGAGAUCGCAUGAAAAGCUGCAGGAAGAAGAAGCCUAUGGGUAAGCAGAGAAGAUGGUUUGUUGAAGCACAGAAGAGCAGCGGAAGAAAACUGUAAUAAUUUUAUAUAAAUCCCAAGGGACAGAAUCUAUGGGAUACCAUGGAUGCAGGUGGACGAGACGUUCCUAGGAAGAGGGAAGUCUACUAUUGUGUGUAAGAAAAUGCUUUCUGCAAGAGUGUUCCAGGCCACAGGAGGGCAUUAGUGGGAGAAAAAGGCCUGAUGAAGAGCUCCAUACAUGAGGAAGAUAAAUGGAAUUCAUCUCUCAAGUUUCUUCUUUGUGAGAUCAAGUUAGUAAUCUUUUCUAAUUAAUUAUAUCAAGCGAUCAUUUUUUUCUAGAGAUUUGAUUUUGUAGCUUUUUGUUUUGCAUGUGACCUUACCAUUUUAGAUGCUAUUUCCAGUGCUUGAUAUUAAUGAAGAUAGAGUAUGAAAAAGAGGCUUAUUGGAGCAUACAUGAUCCUGCUGUUCAUCACAGCAUUCAGAGGUUUGAUAGAGUCUGUGAGAUGUUCUUACAUUUAAGAACAGAGGGUAAAGUUCUAAUGAAGAACUGGGCUACACAGCUUAAAUCUUCUGAAGAUGUUGUGUUGCUUAUUGUUGUUCCUGAAGAAAUUCACAAAUUUCUGUAUUUCAUGGUCUUAAGUUUUUGGCUGCUUCCUAAGCCAUUGUAUAGCUGCACAGCUUGUUAAAAAUGUUCCCAAGAACUGUUUGGUGCUCAAGAGACUCUGAGAAAAGCACAUAGAUGGCCCCUUAUGGGCUUUACAGGAGCAGUCAAACUAUAUCUGGCCCCUUGCCAGCAAUUAGUAUCCCAAGAGACCAAGAACUGGUACAUGAUUUUAACUGAAUCUUUUCCCAUCCUAUGUAGAAGGACAUCCUAUCAGUUGCUUUGUGCAGCUCAGUGCAUAAAUUGUCCAUAGAUUCUCCAGGUUCUUGUUCCUGAAUCCAGCUAACCAUGCUCACCAUAGUCUUGUCCUUAAACAUUCAUUAAACAUCUUAAACAUUCAUUUUGAGUCACUUUGAGAGAACACAUAUGUAAAAUACUUAGGAAGCUCCAGGGCCUUACCUACCUAGAGUUAUUUUUUUGCUUUUUGCCUAUGCUUACAGAGUCUGUUUGUUAUUGGCGCCUUCAAAAAGGCUUAUGAAGAGCUCUUUAUAGGGAACUGAAUGUUUGGCUUCUGAAGUGGCCUUUAGUAGCAGAAUAUGCACCUUCAGCACUGAUGCCAAGGUGACACUAGUCACUCAUAGCUGGGAGAACUAUGAGAGUUAGCGGGGUCUUCUUAGAGGUAUUCAGUAGCUGUAGUGACCUCGGCAUGUCAUGAGAAUGGUCUGGAAUAAACAGGGCAUUUUCGGUACUAGCUGCAGUCAGAUUAUUACAUAUGCCACAGAACAAGCUAAUGCAAUUGCUGAAGUGGGAUCAUAGCAUUUUUAAUUUCUUUUUACAAACGCCAUGUAUGGCUCAUCUAUUAAUUCUAAUGGCACUUCGUAGCUCAGUUAAAUGCUAUGGGCCCUAGCAGAGUGAACCAAGUAACUGUUUCAUUAACAGAAUAGCAUGUAGUUGGGUUCUCAAUAGCAGAAUUAUAUUCAUGUUGUUUAGUAUGGGUCUAGAUGGCAUUUAUUGUUCUGGACUAAACUAUGGAGCUUCACGUGGUGUUUGCACAGUUAUUCCAUCAGUUAUCACUAUAACUGAGAUUAUAUUGAAUUCUGAAUAUUGUCCUCUCAAGUAGAUAUGAAUACAGAGAUAAGAAGUGUCUUUGACUAUAGCGUCCAACAUCCCAUCUCUUAUUUCUAUGGGGAACAUCAAUAAAAAUAAUUUGCUACUCCAAAGGUCUUGAAAAUGAGCAUACACUAACACGCUCUGAUCUCUUUGGAGACUUUGUAAACAAUCAUGAUUUGUUUUCUGUCUCCAGUUUCUCCCAUGCAAGUUGUAUUUAUGUUCUGUUUUCUAUUUUGAGUCAAUUGAAUUAAAACUCACUUUAUUUCAUAAUUACAAACAU